rnacentral:rRNA from 1 species
ACCAGACUCCUACGGGAGGCAGCAGUGGGGGAUAUUGCACAAUGGGGGGAACCCUGAUGCAGCGACGCCGCGUGGGUGAAGAAGCGCCUCGGCGCGUAAAGCCCUGUCAGCAGGGAAGAAAAUGACGGUACCUGAAGAAGAAGCCCCGGCUAACUACGUGCCAGCAGCCGCGGUAAUACGUAGGGGGCAAGCGUUAUCCGGAUUUACUGGGUGUAAAGGGGGCGCAGACGGCGAUGCAAGCCAGGAGUGAAAGCCCGGGGCCCAACCCCGGGACUGCUCUUGGAACUGCGUGGCUGGAGUGCAGGAGGGGCAGGCGGAAUUCCUGGUGUAGCGGUGAAAUGCGUAGAUAUCAGGAGGAACACCGGUGGCGAAGGCGGCCUGCUGGACUGCGACUGACGUUGAGGCCCGAAAGCGUGGGGAGCAAACAGGAUUAGAUACCCCUGUACU